rnacentral:rRNA from 1 species
AUCGGGGCAGGGUGAUUCGACCCCUAAGGCGAGUCCGACAGGCGUAGUCGAUGGGAAACAGGUUUAUAUUCCUGUACUUGGUGUUACUGCGAAGGGGGGACGGAGAAGGCUAUGUUAGCCGUGCGACGGUUGUCCCGGUUUAAGCAUGUAGGCUGGUUGUCCAGGCAAAUCCGGAUAAUCAAGUCUGAGGAGUGAUGACGAGGCACUACGGUGAUGAAGGAACAAAUGCCCUGCUUCCAGGAAAAGCCUCUACGC